rnacentral:rRNA from 1 species
CCUACGGGAGGCAGCAGUAGGGAAUCUUCCACAAUGGGCGAAAGCCUGAUGCAGCAACGCCGCGUGGGUGAAGAAGGUCUUCGGAUCGUAAAACUCUGUUGGUAGAGAAGAAAGGGCGUGAGAGUAACUGUUCACGUUUCGACGGUAUCUAACCAGAAAGCCACGGCUAACUACGUGCCAGCAGCCGCGGUAAUACGUAGGUGGCAAGCGUUAUCCGGGUUUAUUGGGCGUAAAGGGAACGCAGGCGGUCUGUUAAGUCUGAUGUGAAAGCCUUCGGCUUAACGGGAGAAGUGCCUUUGAAACUGGGAGACUUGAGUGUAGAAGAGGAGAGUGGAAUGCAAUGUGUAGCGGUGAAAUGCGUAGAUAUAUGGAAGAACACCAGUGGCGAAAGCG